GGGGCGCACGAUUCCAAACCGUAAUGUUCCCAAUCCUUAAGACGGGGAAUAUGCAACUUUUUCCCUCUUUCUCGGGAAUACGUGAUUCUAAGCAAUGACGUCAGAAUAAAAUAGGUUUGUGCGCAUGUACCUCUUCUGGAAAAGUCGCAGCAUGUUGGUUGAUAUACAGCUUCGAAAUGUGCGAAGCUGAAAUCGCCAUGCCUGAAACAACUAUUUAUGUCAUUUUCAUUAAACAAAAGAAGAGAAUCUGCUAAUUUCCUUGGUUGGAGUAUCGACACAUUAAUUUAAUAAAGAGUUCGUGAGUGAUGCUAGCUACAUUUAUGCAGACAGCUUUCUAUUUGAUGAAUGAGAUGAUUUUUCUACUGUAAAGAGGAUUCUUAUCCAGAAACAAGUUUUGAUAUCUAAAUUGAGGACAGUGGCUAAGCUGAACUAAAUAUCACAUGGCAUCUACAGUGAAAUCACCAGUGCAAUUAAGACAAUGACAAAGGCUAGUAAUAGAUCAUCAAGCAAGGUUUUAACUGAUCUUCCAAGUAACCUCCGUAGACCAGCGGCUGCUACUAACUAUCAUUUAUCAUAAGUUUCAUAAUAUUUUACAAUGCUCUACAUUAUUUAUGGACAUCUUAAGUCUUUCUUAUUCUUUUCGAAAAAAAGAGCUGUGAUAAUAGACUGUAAUUUAUUGUACUUAAAGAUUUUUAGCUGCAAUUUUCAUUUUUUAAUAUUUUGAAAUUUCUGUUACCUUUAUAUUUUUCAAACGAUUGAAAUAUAUAAAACCUGUAUUCAUGAAAAUGUCUUUGAUAAAUACAUUUUUUUUAAAAUAAUCUCCAUGCUUAAAAUAUCUUAGUAUUAUGCAUUAAAAUUUUGUGAAAAAUUAUAUUUAAUCAUAUUUUAUAAAAAAUAAAAAAAAUUCAUUGAUGUCUUAAACAAUUUUGUGUUGAAAUCAUAAGAUAGUGGUCACAUAUAGUAGUAACUAAAACUAAUUUCUUUGUCUGAAAAUCAUUGAAGACACAUAGCACUAUUUUAACAAUGCUCAUUCGAAAUUGCUGUAAAAUUUAUGCAAACAUUUAAGACAUAUUGAACACUUGUUGAAUUCAGUUGCAUACAACAAUGAGCCAGUUCCUUCCAACCUUGAGUGCGAUUGUUGCCCAGCACAUUGCAGGUUCAAGUGAAUUUGUUUUGUAAGCCUGUGCUUGAUUGUAUUUAGUUUUAUAUUAUUUUAAAAACAAAUGAUCAUGGAUUUUAUUUGUUUAUUUGACAUGCUGUGCUAUUGAUUUGAAUUCUUUUCUUAGUUGCUUUAAAUUCACAUAAUUUGAUAUUAAUUCUACUUAGUAAAAUUUUUUCCUCUUUUUAUCUGGUAAACAAGUUUUUUUAAAAACAAAUAGGAUUAAUUUGUUUUGACAUGCUUUAAUGCAUUGAAAUUCACUUAAUUUGAUUUUAAUGUUUACCUCAUUUUUUCUAUUUAGUAUAAGUUUUUUAAAAAUAUCCAUUUGAUUUUUCUACUAUGCCUAUCAGUCAGCUUACUAAAAGGCAUAUAAUAUAUAAAUUAUUAGUCGAAUGGGAAAAAUGCUAUUGGGAUAAUAAAUUUAAAAAUUUUUUAAAAUUAUAUUGGCAGAUCAAGUUAAUUACUGCUAGUUUCUUAUUUCCUUAGGUGUAGAAAAUUUUUUUUUCCUGUCUGUAUGCAUUAUUCAAGUGUUUCGUUCUAUGUUUGAUCUGAGUAUGAGACCAGAAAAAAAUGCAAGUUUUCUUAAUACCCAUGAUUCAUAAAGUUAUUGUUUUAAUUGUACUAUUUUUAAUUAUUAUUAUUUCUUCAAAGCUUUCAGGUUUAAGUAAAGUUAUUUCACCUGUGCAUAUUACAAAAUGUUUAAGUUCAUUAUAUUGUUUAUAAAAUAAGAUAUCUGAGAUGUGCUUUGAAAUCAGUCCCCAUUGAUAAUAAUUGCAAUUACUAAAAUAUAUAAUAAUUUAUUAAAUUGUUAUUAUUUACGUAAUUAAUUGUUAUAGUCGACAGUAACAUUAUUUAAACCUCAUUUACAAAUUCAAAUUUAUUCUGUUUCAAGUAUUGAAUAAAUUUUUUAAUUUUUUUUUCUGUUCUCUAUGAGGAUAUAAGAUUUUUUCUUCAGUAAUAUUAUUAAAACUGUAUUUCCAAAAUUCUGUUUUCAUCUAGUUUUAAACAUUUAUUUUAACUGCAUUUUACGAUUUAGAAUAUUUUAUGAAAAAGUAUAUUCACAUUGCUUAGCAAUUAGAUUUUUUUAUAAUUUUAGUAUUACAUGCUUUAUAAUAGUUUCAUAAUCCACAGUGGGUAUUGAAUAUUGUUUUAGUGCUUUUGAAAUAAAAAUUAUUGUUAAAAAAUUAUGGUGCUUUCUUUUAGAUUUUUUUUACUAUACAUAACAAAGUUAAUACCUGUUUUUGAAAUGUAACUGAAAGCUUUCUAGCAUUAUGUUCUUUAAUAUAAUUUUUAAUGGGCAUUUUGGAGGCUUUUUCUUGAGGGAUUAUAAAUAUUUAUUUCACUGGAAUUGUUCAAUUUAAGGUUAUCUUCAAGAAUUGUAGUUUUUAUUCUAUUUAAUGAAUUUGUUUUAAUAACUUGACUUUAUUAUUCAACAUAUUUUAUUUGUGCAAAUGUUUUUUCCCCCCAUGACCCUGUCCUUAAAUUUUUUGGUCCCUGGUGACCUACAAAAUAAGAAGUGUUAAUUUUUGAUUUCCGGUGGAAAAGUAUAUAAAAUGUAAGAAAGUUUAGAUCAACAAACUUUAUUCUGCCUUACCGAAUAGAAACUCAGUUUUCCACAGCGGUUUCUAUUUUUUUUAAUUCAUAAUUUUUAUAUUCUUUUCCUCCUUUAUCAAUUAUGCAAAAACAUGAAAAGUUCGCUAAGACUUAAAAAUGUAAAUUGGAUGCAAUCAACAUUUUUUGUGUGUUUAAUGAAAAUAACUAACGUUUGUUAAAAGUAAAUAUUAUAAAUAAAUAAUGUUUCGAUUGAGUAUAGAUCUUGUAUUUAUCCUUUUUUAACCCUUUAUUUUCAUGUACUGUUGCUUUCAAUGCAUAAGUAUUAACACCUUUUUUUUUUUUAAACUUGAAUUCUAAAAAAAAGUGUUUAAUGCAAUGAUUGUAGAAUAUCCUAUUUUACUGGCUUCUUAAACAGUUGCCCAAAAUUUUUUUAUAGUUCGUAUUUUUAUCCUGUUUGGUAUGUGUCCUGUUACAAAGGUUAAUUAAAAUAUAUAAGGAUUAUUACAAUUCAUAUUAUCUGUGGAAAAUAUCUCAAUACUAAUGUAAUGUAACACUUGGUAAAUUAUUAAUAAAUUUGUUCUUUGCUUA